AUGAUGUCUUAUCUUAAGCAACCGCCUUACGCAGUCAAUGGGCUGAGUCUGACCACUUUGGGUAUGGACUUGCUGCACUCCUCCGUGGGGUACCCCGCCACACCCCGGAAACAGCAGCGGGAGGGGACCACGUUCAACUGUGCACAGCUCGAUGUGCUCGAAGCGCUGUUUGCCAAGAACCCGGUACCCAGACAUCUUCAUGCAGGAGGAAGUGGCUCUGAAAAUCAACUUGCCCGAAUCCAGAGUGCAGGUAUGGUUUAAGAAUCGAAGAGCUGGGCUGGGAAGAGCUAAGUGUCGUCAACAACAGCAGCAACAACAGAAUGGAGGUCAAAAUAAAGUGAGGCCUGCCAAAAAGAAGACAUCUCCACCUCAGGAAGUGAGUUCAGAGAGUGGAACAAGUGGCCAGUUCACUCCCCUCUCUAGCACCUCAGUCCCCACCAUUGCCAGCAGCAGUGCUCCUGUGUCUAUCUGGAGCCCAGCUUCCAUCUCCCCACUGUCAGACCCCUUAUCCACCUCCUCUUCCUGCAUGCAGAGGUCCUAUCCCAUGACCUAUACUCAGGCUUCAGGUUAUAGUCAAGGAUAUGCUGGCUCAACUUCCUACUUUGGGGGCAUGGACUGUGGAUCUUAUUUGACCCCUAUGCAUCACCAGCUUCCUGGACCAGGGGCCACACUCAGUCCUAUGGGUACCAAUGCAGUUACCAGCCAUCUCAAUCAGUCCCCAGCUUCUCUUCCCACCCAGGGAUAUGGAGCUUCAAGCUUGGGUUUUAACUCCACCACUGAUUGCUUGGAUUAUAAAGAUCAGACAUCCUCAUGGAAAUUCCAGGUUUUGUGA